UUUAAUAAAAUAAAAAGAAAAUUCUAAACUGAGUGAGACAAGAUUGAUAUUGACUAAAUUGAAUUUAAUUUUGUCGGACAAUUUUGACAAAAAAAUGGUACGAAAUUACAAAUUAAUUAUGUAUUUCAGCAUUGUUAGUAAGUGAUUGACAAAAUUAAUAAAUAGGGCAUAAGAAAAUAAAGAAAUACAUUUUUGUUUUUCUUUUGAAGAUAAUGAGAUGCAUUUUCAAGAAAGAACAAGUAUAUUCAUAUUUACUUUUGAAUUUUAAUCUAGUUCAAAUGAAUUAUCCCAACAUAACAUGAUCUCUAAGGCAUUGAUUUGUUAAACUUAACAUAUGAUAUAAGAUACAAUAUGUGUGCCAAAAUAAUUUGUAACUAUUUAACUAGUUAGUCGAGCAUAUCGUAUCAAAUUCGAAUCAAUCCACUUCAUAUCAUAUCUUUAAGAUGAAGACAUUGCAACUAUGACAAAAUUUUGAAAAUGGAAAAUUUUUAAGAUAUGAAAUAAAAAAAAAAUAGCCCUUUUCUGUACCAUUGUCCAUUGCACUAAAUAAAAUGUGAAUGGGAAAUAUUUAUUCAUCCCUAUAUCCAUCAUCAAUUGUUUGAAAACAAAAAAAAAAAGAAAAAAAAUGCAGUGCAAUAAACACAUUCCCAUUGAUGGAAAGUUGGAAACCCCAAGCCCCCAACAGCCCAACUAUGUCAAUCUACAGUCAAUUAUAAUUGAAAAUAACUCACCAACCUCCUUAAAAUAUGUCAUAUUCACCAAUUAAUUGCUAUGGACUUUGCCAUAUGUUAAAUUGUCAAUGUGUUAUUUAUUGUAGAUUCAGUAAAGAUCAUUUAAGACAAUAGAAUAGAUUGUUUUUCAUGAUGUAUUAGUAAUAAGCUUUAUUUAAUAUUAAAAUUGGGUAGUUGUGCUUUAAAAGUUACAGUAUUAUAGUGUUUAAUAAAUAUUAGCUAUUGUGAUUUAGAAGCUAAAUUGAUUUAAUCUACCACUUGUAUAUGAAAAAUUUAUACACAAUAU
rnacentral:lncRNA from 1 species